rnacentral:rRNA from 1 species
CUAGUUGGCGAGGUAACGGCUCACCAAGGCAACGACGGGUAGCUGGUCUGAGAGGAUGGCCAGCCACAUUGGGACUGAGAUACGGCCCAGACUCCUACGGGAGGCAGCAGUGGGGAAUCUUGCGCAAUGGCCUAACGGCUGACGCAGCGACGCCGCGUGUGGGAUGAAGCUCCUCGGAGUGUAAACCACUGUUGCCCGGGACGAAUAGCUCGAUUAAUCGAGCCUGACGGUACCGGGUGAGGAAGCACCGGCUAACUCCGUGCCAGCAGCCGCGGUAAUACGGGGGGUGCGAGCGUUGUCCGGAAUCACUGGGCGUAAAGGGCGCGUAGGUGGUUUGAUAAGGGUGUGGUGAAAGUCCGGGGCUCAACCCCGGAUCUGCCGUGCCGACUGUCAAACUCGAGGGCUGUAGAGGCAGACGGAAUUCCGGGUGUAGCGGUGGAAUGCGUAGAGAUCCGGAGGAAGACCGGUGGCGAAGGUGGUCUGCUGGGCAGUUUCUGACACUGAUGCGCGACAGCGUGGGGAGCAAACAGGAUUAGAUACCCUGGUAGUCCACGCCGUAAACGAUGGGUACUAGGUGCCUGGGGGAGCGACCCUCUGGGUGCCGGCGCUAACGCAGGAAGUACCCCGCCUGGGGAGUACGACCGCAAGGUUGAAACUCAAAGGAAUUGACG